rnacentral:rRNA from 1 species
AAGCGGCAACAGCUCAAAUUUGAAAUCUGGCGUAAGCCCGAGUUGUAAUUUGUAGAGGAUGCUUCUGGGUAGCGGCCGGUCUAAGUUCCUUGGAACAGGACGUCAUAGAGGGUGAGAAUCCCGUAUGUGACUGGCUUGCACCCUCCACGUAGCUCCUUCGACGAGUCGAGUUGUUUGGGAAUGCAGCUCUAAAUGGGAGGUAAAUUUCUUCUAAAGCUAAAUACCGGCCAGAGACCGAUAGCGCACAAGUAGAGUGAUCGAAAGAUGAAAAGCACUUUGGAAAGAGAGUUAAAAAGCACGUGAAAUUGUUGAAAGGGAAGCGCCCGCAACCAGACUUUGCGGCGGUGUUCGGCUGGUCUUCUGACCGGUUUACUCGCCGCCGUGAGGCCAUCAUCGUCUGGGACCGCUGGAUAAGACCUGAGGAAUGUAGCUCCCUUCGGGGUGUGUUAUAGCCUCUGGUGAUGCAGCGCGUCUCGGGCGAGGUCCGCGCUUCGGCAAGGAUGAUGGCGUAAUGGUUGUCGGCGGCCCGUCUUGAAACACGGACCAAGGAGUCUAACAUCUAUGCGAGUGUUCGGGUGUCAAACCCCUACGCGUAAUGAAAGUGAACGGAGGUGGGAACUUUUUGUGCACCAUCGACCGAUCCUGAUGUCCUCGGAUGGAUUUGAGUAAGAGCAUAGCUGUUGGGACCCGAAAGAUGGUGAACUAUGCCUGAAUAGGGUGAAGCCAGAGGAAACUCUGGUGGAGGCUCGCAGCGGUUCUGACGUGCAAAUCGAUCGUC